rnacentral:rRNA from 1 species
AGGAUGAACGCUGGCGGCGUGCUUAACACAUGCAAGUCACGGGGGCCCAGCAAUGGGCAACCGGCGAACGGGUGCGUAACACGUGAGCAACCUACCUAAGUGAGGGGGAUAGCCGGCCCAACGGCCGGGUAAUACCGCAUACGCUCGAAUUGAGGCAUUUUGAUUCGAGGAAACCUACGGGGCACUAUGAGGGGCUCGCGGCCUAUCAGCUAGUUGGUGAGGUAACGGCUCACCAAGGCGACGACGGGUAGC